ACACGUAGGGGGCAAGCGUUGUCCGGAAUUAUUGGGCGUAAAGGGCGUGUAGGCGGUUAAUUAAGUCAGGUGUGAAAGCCCGGGGCUUAACCCCGGGACUGCACCUGAAACUGGUUAACUUGAGGGCAAGAGAGGAAAGCGGAAUUCCUAGUGUAGCGGUGAAAUGCGUAGAUAUUAGGAGGAACACCAGUGGCGAAGGCGGCUUUCUGGCUUGACCCUGACGCUGAGGCGCGAAAGCGUGGGGAGCAAACAGGAUUAGAUACCCUGGUAGUCCACGCCGUAAACGAUGGGUACUAGGUGUAGGAGGUAUCGACCCCUUCUGUGCCGCAGCAAACGCAUUAAGUACCCCGCCUGGGGAGUACGUUCGCAAGAAUGAA
rnacentral:rRNA from 1 species